rnacentral:siRNA from 1 species
AGAAAAUCCAAAAUCCAAACCCUA